GGCAGAGCAAUGGAGGAUGGAUUUGGAGCUGCAAGGCAAUAAACUGGUAACUGAACAAAGAAAAAGACAAAAUGGAUUUAGAUGGACAACUAUCUCUGCUAAACGAUUUGGGCAACGAUCUCUGCCAAACUUAAGAUAACACGCUUUCCUCACAUCCCAGCAUGAUACCUGAGAAGUACGAAUAUGCCCUGAAACUAAGAGGAGUAAGGAAACAGCGAGAGAUUAUAGAUAGCCUCAUCUUGUAAGUCUCUGGCUGUGUGAUGAGGAACGGGAGGAUGAUCUCAUGGGAGUCAGCACUGAGAGAGUGUACCUGAAGAAACCCUGUGAAUGGGGGACCAAUGACUUAGCAGUGACCUGUUUGGACAGAAAUCUACAGACCAAAAUGAAUGGUGGAUUUCUCAGCAGAUCUCAGGAGAUGCAAGUACAGAUUAUGACAUGAGGGCCAGAUGCCCUGCUCCUCUCACCCACCCCAGCAUUUGAAACCCAAUGAUGGAUCUGAGAACGCUGUCUGGGCUUGGUACCAAGAGCUGGUAUUUCACAGCAGCGACCGCCUCACAGACGAGCUGUGGGAAGCAGGAGGGAGACUCUCUCUUAGGGUGCCACUACUAUGGAGACACAGCUGGGCUGAACAAGAUUUGCUUCAAACGACAACAAGAGAGACAGAAAGUAUCUGGUUCAACCGCUGCCCGAGCAGGCAGGCACCAGAAGAGCUAGCAGCCAAUCCGGCCAUGCUCGAAGCCAGCUCUGCAGCUCAGCCAAUCAGUGACAUCAUUGCUUUCUUUAGCUUGCCCAUGGUGAUGUGAAGAUGAGAAGAAAUAGCAAGGCCCAACCAGUUCUUCAUCUGGAGACAGUUCAACGUUCUGCAAACCAGAUCUUCAGGAAUUUUACUGGGAUAAUUAUCCAAAUAAAUUGCAAGCAUUCUAUCCAAAUGGACAUCCAUAAAAAUUCAUCAGAGAGCAUUUUACUACUGAGCUGCAAAGGUAGGAAAAAUAAAUUUUUUUUGGUUAGAAAAUAUACUUCUUUCAUCUGCGUUUCAAUAAUUUAUUCCCCUUGUUAGAUAUACAUGGAAUUGAUAUUGCUUAUUCUGACUAAGUGAAAAGUGUUAUUUCUACUUACUGCUCAAUUAGAAACAUGUAGUGUUUAAUUGUCAGUUUGAAUUUUUCUUUCAUACUAUUACAGUUUAUAUUUUACUAUAGGCAGAAUUUCCUCUUUAUCCUAAAUUUUGAUAUUCUCCAUAAUUUCAUCGUGCCUUGACAUUGCUGUAUAUAAUUUCUAUACAUCAGGAAGGCAAUUCUGUGUGCAUGUGUGUGUGUAUAUAUAUAGUUAGAAGUUAGAAACUGAAACUCUUUUUUGUCUACCAUCAUUUCAUAUUUUUCUUGCUAUUUCAAACCUAUAAUUUUUAAAGAAACGACUAACGUAAUCAUUCAUAGAAUAUGCUGUCAGUAACUUAACAAUAUAAAUGUUAACAUGGAGGCAUUUAGUUCAGCAUUUGCUUUACUUAAUAGAGUGCAGAAAAUGUGGCCCUUUUCUCAGUUAGGGUGUAUGUGAAGAUAAAUUUAGAAUUUCUAGACUAGUAAAUACUUCUCUGAUAAUAACUUAAUUAUAGCUAUUUCAAACCAAAUUGUUUAAUUGUGGUGAAUCAUAUGUAAAUUGUUCAGAUGUAGGUCAACACCCACGCCCACAUUCUAGCACCUCUUUCCUAAUUCAAGACAACUUUGCAGUGCCUAAAAGAGCUGAACAGUGCAGAUUAGAGACAUAAGACAAAAAAAAAAAAAAAA
ensembl:lncRNA MIR99AHG mir-99a-let-7c cluster host gene